AGCUAACUGAGUUAGUGCCUGGGCUGUUAUGGGUUCACUGGGCUGGUAUGCUGCAGGAAUCUUUGGAUCAAGAAGACAUCUGCAGUUGAUCAACCACAACACAGUUACUGAGGGAAUGCUUUGUUAUGAGCUAUAAGUGUAAUAUAACCAAAUUGUAAGCAUGCUUGAGAAGUUUUUUAAACUAGCAGUGAAUAUAAAUCAUAUUGUAUUUUGUAGCAGGCUGUGUUUCGAGACCAUGAAACGUUCAGUGUUACCACAGUGCAUGAUUAGUACUUUAUCAUGGUAGUAGUCUUUUGAUUUUUACAUGACAGGUUCAUGAGUUAUGUCCAAACCUUAGUUAAUGCCGGAAAGUUGACAUUGCUUUCUAUUCAUCUGUCCUAUUCAAGGUUCAGUUAAAUAGUGUGCAGAUUAUAUUUGAAUUAGCUGAUACCUGCAAGUAAAUAGUGGGUCAAACUUAAAUAUGUAUUUUGGUGAGCUAUGUUUGAAACCAGCCAGUGAGGUUGUUGGUGAAUGUUGAACACAGGGUGUCUCGAUGUCAAUGUUUUCUGUUGUUUUAUUACAUUAACAAUAUGUUCUGUUUAUUUGGCAAUUUGUAGAGAAUAUUUUCUCUGUUUUUCUAAGCCGUUUAUAACAGAACUCCUUUUGGGUUUCAAUGACUGUUCUUUGUACAAUCUAUUCUUUGAAAAUGUUCACACAAGGCUAAAAGAAUGGAAUAGGGGAAGAAAGCUAUUUCAAUAAACAACAUUAGUAUAUAUCUUAAUUUAGCAAAUUAAAUAAUGAACCUUAUUAUUGUGAUUAUACCAUAAAUAAUUGAUUGGUUUUAUGUAUUUAUUUAUAAUCCACCAAUUCUUACAAACAUAUUACCAAGCUUAUGACUAACAUUCAAACUGGCCUUUUAAAAUUAUUUCAAAGAUAAAACAUAAUUAAAGAACAACUAUAAUAUUGGCACAUACAUUGAUGAAUUGGAAAUACUAGGAAUGCAUUCAAACGAAGAACAUACUGAGUUGAUUUUCCAUCUUUCACACUUAUUUCUAAUGUACUUGUUCUGUUUAUAAGAUUGUUUAAUUGUAAGUGAAAAACAUUUUGUGGUUUUGUUUUUCAUUUAUGUAUCUGUUAGAAAUAUGUUAUUUUUCAUUGUAGAAAUGCACCAAUUCCACUUUGCAGCUGUUGCACUUGGCAGCAGGUGUUUUACAAUUAUCUAUAGGGAACCACAUUUAAUGUUUUUUGUCAAAACAAUCUAUCACCUGCAAUAUUGGGCUUUGUCUAGAAAUCAGCCAAGUUUAACACAACCUAUUUUAGUAACUUUGUGGAGAUGCCCUAUUUUUAGAAAUCUUAUUUGAAAUGAUUUGAUUAUUAUUUACUGAAAUAUGUCAAACAAAUAUAUCAAACAAUUAUGAAUAAUAUAAAGAUCCUAUAAACAUAUUAUGGCUGUUUUUUAUGCAUAAUGUAUAUGUAAAAAAGCUCAGAGGGAAGAAACAUUAGGUCUCAGAAAUAUAAGCAGCUGGAAAUGUAUUAACAUUUAUUAAUUUGAAAUUGCAGUUUGUUUUUGCUAUUUCUAGCUUUUUAUUUUAAAUAGGCUAUGACCAUUUUCUGUAUUUUGAACGUUAGAAACUGUAUUUUUCUUUUCCUUUUAGCAUCCUCUUUUAUGUCUUAAUUCAUUGAGGACAGUGAGUGGCAAAUCCUAGUUUGGGCUACUGCUGUCAUUUGUGGAAACUUGAAAUCUUAAACUCAUGGACUUCCUGAUAAAAUGCCCGUGUCUGUUUGUUAGACACAUUUUAAAAACAUCAUCAUUUCUGUUUUGAUGUCAGUAACAACCCACAUGUGCUUUUGGUGUGCAGCUUUGCCGAACCCACACUAUUGCAUGUUCUUGUUGUAAUUUGAAUGCCUAGACUGUAGGUAUUAUGCCCCUGUAACUGAGUAAACUAUGAUUAAAGCAAAACCAUUGCCAUCACAGUAUGACGUGAGAUAUUUGUUCAUAUUUAUUUUUACUUUGAGUGAAAGAAAUGUUUUCAUGUCCUUGUUGUGCGCGCAUUGGAUAUCAAGUUCAUUUCUUUCUGCCAAGCCGGG
ensembl:lncRNA